GGGCGAUUAGCUCAGCUUGGUUAGAGUGCCACGUUGACAUCGUGGAGGUCACUGGUUCGAGCCCAGUAUCGCCCACCA
rnacentral:tRNA from 1 species